rnacentral:rRNA from 1 species
CCUACGGGAGGCAGCAGUCGGGAAUUUUGGGCAAUGGGCGAAAGCCUGACCCAGCAACGCCGCGUGAAGGAUGAAGUAUUUCGGUAUGUAAACUUCGAAAGAAUGGGAAGAAUAAAUGACGGUACCAUUUAUAAGGUCCGGCUAACUACGUGCCAGCAGCCGCGGUAAUACGUAGGGACCAAGCGUUGUUCGGAUUUACUGGGCGUAAAGGGCGCGUAGGCGGCUUGACAAGUCACUUGUGAAAUCUCCGGGCUUAACUCGGAACGGCCAAGUGAAACUGUCAUGCUAGAGUGCAGAAGGGGCAAUCGGAAUUCUUGGUGUAGCGGUGAAAUGCGUAGAUAUCAAGAGGAACACCUGAGGUGAAGACGGGUUGCUGGGCUGACACUGACGCUGAGGCGCGAAAGCCAGGGGAGCAAACGGGAUUAGAUACCCCCGGUAGUCCUGGCCCUAAACGAUGAAUACUUGGUGUCUGGAGUAAAUAGUGCUCCGGGUGCCGUCGCUAACGUUUUAGUAUUCCGCCUGGGGAGUACGCUCGCAAGAGUGAAACUCAAAGGAAUUGACGG